GAUCUGUAUUUGUUAACUCAUUUAUCACCAAAGACCAAAAGAAAAGUGAAGAAAUACAAAAGACCAUUUCAGAAGAUGAGGACGAUAUUAGAGUUUUACAAGAAAAGAAUAGAGAGCUGAAAACACUUGUACUUAUCAUUGAGAGUAAACUUAAAAGGGAAAAGGAGGAGAAAGACAAACUGUACUUCUCAUUGAGAGUAAACUUAAAAGGGCAAAGGAGGAGAAAGACAAAUCAGAUGAACAGAUUGUUUGUUUGCAACAGCAACUUUCCUGUUCUGAAGAACUGCAACAGCAACUUUCCUGUUCUGAAGAAAAGAGUUUAACUUUAAGUAGAAAGGUCCAACAAAUGAAGGCAAAUUGUGACAGCAUAUAAUUGCUGAAGUAAGUGUGCAGAAAAAUAUAAAACAAGAACCGGAAGAAAAGAUCAUGAAAUUGUCAGAGAAGAUAGAAGUUGCUACAAGAAACAUCACAAGCAAAUUUUCACAAAUAAAAUUAAUACAAACAAAAAUAGAUGAACUGCGUUCACUUGAUUCAGUUUCUCAGAUCUCAAACAUAGAUUUACUCAAGCUCAAGACUCAGUCAAAUGGUCUAGAGGAAGAGAAUUUGCCAGACAUACAGUUAAACCUUUCAAGUAAUAAUUUUUUGGCAAGUAAGCAGGUUAAAGAAUAUCAUAUUCAAGAACUCAGUAGGGAGAGUUCUUUCUACUCUAGUAUUGAAGCCAUUUGGGAAGCAUGUAAAGAAAUGGUGAAGGCCUCCUCCAAAAAAAGUCAUAAGAUCCAGGAACUACAACAACAAAUUGAAAAAUUACAGGCGGAAAUAAAAGGUUAUAGGGAUGAAAAGUGUGUACUAAAAGUAAAGCACAGAGGGCUUGAGAAUCAAGAUGACCUACAAAAAGAAAGAGAAAAUCUUAUACAGCAGCUGAAAGAAGAACGGCAAGAGAAAAAUGCUAAUCUUAAUGUUCAAGGACAGCUUGUAGUUGAAGGAAAGAAAGCACUUUCAGAGCUGACACAAGAUGCUAUUUGUUAUAAGGCAAAAAUAAAGGAACGUGAAAGAACCCUAGAGACUCAGAAAGAAGAGUGUAGUCAUUUAGCUAAGUUAGAGCAAGACAUUUUGGUAAAAGAAUCCGUCAUCUUAAAGCCAGAAGAAAAUCUGAAGGAAUUUCAAGCAAAUCUUAAUGAUUCUAUCAAAAACACCACAGAUUUAAAUGAAAAGGAAGUUAAGUUGAAAGAAGAAAUCACACAGUUAACAAGUAAUUUACAGGAUCUGAAGCAUUCACUUCAAUUAAAGGAAGAGGAAAAAGAAGCCAACAGGCAAGAAACAGAAAAUGUUUUAUGUUUUUUAGAUUGAAGGAGGAACUCUCUGAAAGCUCUGCUGUCACCCAAAAUCUGAAAGCAGAUCUUGGGAGAAAAGAAGAAGAUUAUGCUGAGCUGAACGAGAAACCGACUGAUGCCAAAAAGCAAAUCGAGCAAGUACAGAAAUCGGUAGGUUAUGUGAAAAGUUGUGUGGCCCUUCUCAGAUGGGAAAGAUCAUUUCUCUUGUCUAGAAAGUUUAGGUGCUAAUUUUAGAUCUGACCAGAGCAUUUAUCAACUUUGUAAUAUUUCUUGAUGAGAAUAGUUAUUUUAUAAAAGAAAAUUGAGCCAGCACAAGCAAACUGGAGAAAGCCAACCUCAAGAAAAAUAUGUGCCUUAUGUGGGAUUAGAAUAUUUCUGUGUCUGUUUUUUUGUUUGUUUGUUUGGUUGGUUGGUUGUUCUUCCUGGGUAUUGAACUGAGUGCCUUUACCCUGAGCUAGAUCCCCUAACCCUGUUUAUUUUUAUUAUGAGACAAGGUUUUCCUAAGUUGCUGAGGAUGGGCUCCAAUUUGAGAUCCUCCUGCCUCAGUCUCCCAGAGUGCUAAGAUUACAAGUGUGUCUAGCAUGCCUGUUUCUUUGUUUAUUGUUUUAUAAGUCCUGCUCAAUUCAAAUUCUUCAAAAAAAAUAAAAGGUUAGCUUCUGUUGGAAGAUAGUAUUUAGGACAAUCUGCAGUAUGACUAAUUAUUUGUUUUUGAGACAAGAUCUUGCUAAGUAGUACAUGUUAGGCUUGAACUAUGUAGCCAGGCUGGCAUUUAUCUUGCAGCAUUUCUCCUGCUUCAGGCUUUGGAGUGCUGGCUAAGUUUUUAUUAAAUUUAAUAUCUCCAAAUUUGCAAUGUACAAAGUUGUAUUUAGGGAGACAGAAAUCCUUCCCACUUUUCCCAGCCAUUACACAUUCCUCUUAGGCAUCAUAUGUUACUACUUUUUUUCUCUAUACUUCUCCCUUCCUUCCUCUAUGGUGUGCAGCUUCCUGGACUGCGUGACAACAACAGACCGAGCAAGGAGGACAAGACCCAGGAGGCGGUUGUUUUGGCUGCCUAACUGCCUGCCUGAGAUCACGCGGCAGGCGGGCGCCCUCCCGGAAGACUGCUCCACAACAACAGAUGGAGCAAGGAGGAAAACACCGUCUUUUCAGCUUCCUGUUUAAGACUUAAGGAACCAGAGAGACUCCAUGUUGACCACCAAAUGACCUAGAGACUGUCGCUCUCCCCCAUCCCUUAUAGGAUAACUAAUG
rnacentral:lncRNA from 1 species